UUUUGAAGUAUGUUAAGCAAUUGUGAUUAGGGAAUAAAAACCUACUAGCGUUACUACUACUAAACUACUACUAAACCUACUAAACAGCUGAGUAACCCCGCCCAGCUUUGGGCGUUGUGAAAGGGCUUAACAGGCGGUUGUGUGAACCACCCUUGUGUUUUGAGACAAUGCCAAGUUGCUGAACUCAUUCAUACAAUGCAAGUACAGUGUCCAUUGAAGCACCAAUCAUUGGAGAGACUUCGCAUUUGAGUGAUGGGCCCAUGUGAGUCAGCUGUAUAAUUUUAAAUGUGCUAUUUUGGGUCUGGGGAGGGGAUUAGCAGCCAUACCGUGCGUCUCCUGUCUCUCUUUCCCUCUCUGAGGAGCUUGUGAGAGGAGCUAGUUUUUGUUCGUCCGUCUGCAUAGACGUCCUUUCACCAAUUAAAAUAUGGGGUGUUGUUUCAGCAAAGAAUUGAACCCUAACUUGGUCAGCGAGAGAACAAGUCUUCUUCAGGCAGCCAUUCCUGAGGGCUGCACAGCGAAAGACGUCAGAGACUCUGAUUGGUCCACGGCCGAUCUGGCCAUCGAGAAGUCUUCUCAAAAUGGGAAUGUCAACGCUGCUUUAGAUACCAGUUGUAAUGCUUCCUCCACAAACUUGUCAGCAGGUCUUAACCUCAUUAAAGAGGGCGGUAGCAGUGCACAGGAAGGAAUGGCAUUUUGGGACCCACCUGUUGGCGAUCCACCUAUCCACAAGGCUGCAGUCCAGAAAGGAAAUGCCAGUGAAAUGGGGAGAGACAAUUGCCAAAUUAAGGAAACUGAAACGUUGGAUUCUGUGAAACAGAGAAUAGCUGAAAAUGCCAUAAUGAGAGCAAAAUGGUUUUGUGAUGGUCAACAGAAUUCCACAGAAUUAACUAGUGAUGGCAAGAGUGAGAACACCUCCCUCGGACGAAAUGCCCUGGGUAAUAGUCUGUCUGGUUUCUCCGUUAUUGCAAAAGAAGAACAAAUUAAGACACCGUGGGAUGUACAAUCAAAACCUGUUUCCACUCCAAAGCAUGCCACCUCUCCGUUCAAUAAAUGCUCUGGGAGCUCAAUAAAUCUGGAUGACUCAGAAGAGGGAAAAUCUGGACUGUUGAUCACUGACCGUAGCUUUAAAAAAGAACAGAGUUUCUACAGCAUCUGCUUGAUUGAUUUAGAGGAUUUCGGGAACGAGUGUGGGCACCAGCCUGUGAAACAAGAUGACGCAGUCAGGUACGCAAGCGCACCAGCUGUCUCUGAAAAGGCUUUGUCUGAUAAUUCAUUACUCCCGAAAGACCACACAAUAACAGGUUUAUGGCCUUUACAUGAGAUUACAGCAACACAACAAACAGAAAAGGGUCCCUCAGAGAGAACUCUAGGGUCUUCUACAAGUCUACCUGUAAAUUUAGCACUUUCAAAUGAGGAACAUGCCCACCCAGAUCUUCUAAAUCCAUUUCCUGUUCAAGAAAAUGAAAAGCUUUUAUCUGAAAAUGACAUUUCCACUCCUUGUACAGAUACAGGGAACACACUUUCUCCUUCUACUGCUGUAGAGGAUGCCAUUGAUCAACCCUCCCCAGAUCUGCCAGCGCGAAAUGGACAGAUGUCUGUUUUGAAGUCAAGUACAGAUACCACAUUGCCACAUGGGGAACCUGCUGCCCUACUUAACAACCAUGAUCUUUAUAGUAGCUCUGGUUACAAGGCUACAAAUCUGGAGAAUGAUUCUGAGCUCAACAUGCAUAACACCAUUUUUGAUGAAUCUAUGUUGAGAACAACUCAGCAAGAUCUAAAUGGUCUUCCGGAUGAAGUAGAACUGGAAAAUCAAUGUAGAAAUGAUGAUAAUACGGAGUCCUUGAACUUAAAGGCGGAGAAGAAACCCAUUGUGUCAGAUAAUGUUGAUUACAUCAUUUCUUCUCUUAGCAGCACAGCAGAUAGUUCUACAAACCUUAGUGUAGCUGCCGUGGAAUCAGAUCAAUGUGUAUCCAAGAAAACCCCUACUGAGAAAGUUCAGAAAAAAACGUCUCCGGCUCUUUCAGCUGUCAGUACAUCUGCAUUAGAAAAUUUAGUUGAGACAGAGGACCAAAGGUUUUCUUGUAAAGAUGCCUCUGAAGACAUUGAAAAUUUAAGGUUUUGCUCUGAGACCCCACUGGCUUCUGAUGAAGAAGACAACCUGUCAAAAUCACCUGCCUGUUGUAGAGCUGAAAUUGAACCAAGACAAAUAGCAACGCAGGAGGAGGUCAUUCUGAAUGCUUGCCAGUGCAGUGUAUUGCAAAGUAAAGUGCAGACAAAUGAAUCUGUUAUCUUCGAGGUUGCUGGUGUGGCUCAGAGUUUGAGCAGUCCAUCUCAUGCAGAAGGUAUUUGUUUAGAUCUCACUUGUUAUGCUGAAGAAGACAUGACUUUAAGCACACAUGUCUUCACUUGCGGUGUAUUUCCCACUGACCAGACAAAGAUUGUGUCAGAAUCUUGUGACAAUCCAAACAGGGAACAGAAUGUAGAACCAAAUGCUAAGUUUGCAAAUGCUGAACCAUGUGACAUGAGUCCAUCUCAGCUUCCUACAAACGCUCUUGUGAACUUUGAGCAUCUGCUGGAAGUCACCGAAGAAGCUGAUUAUCACAAUGUAAGUUCUUUGAGUUCAUCUGUUGUUGAUGACGUUCACACAAUCUCUGUACCUGGUUCUGAUCGUCCUGUUGAAGAAAAUCUCUUCCACAGCAAUGCCACCUGGUUUGUAAACGCAUCACACAAUGAUGUCUGUAAUAAUGGACAUCCAGAAAGCGUUGCAGCGAGUGAUCUAAUACAGGUGGGAUUGGGAAGCGAAUUGCCUGCAACAGCACAAGAGCAAGUCAUGGACAAUGAAAUAGGAAAAACUUGUUCACAACAUGAUGAGGAGAUGCAUAUUGCCAGCAAAUGCUUCAGGGAGGAUGAACGGAAGGUACUGGAUGAGAUUUGUUGGUGUACUGAUGAUGGUGAAACCGAAAUGUCACAACUUGAACAGCAGGGACUCGUACCAACUUUAGAGCUGCUUAAUUGCUUAAAUGAUGGGAAUAACAAUGACUGUUUGAAAUCUGUUUGUUCUGCUAGCAGUUAUGUACAAACACUGUCUCAACCACCAUGCCCAUCUGAAGUUUUGGAGACAUUUGAUUGCACUUUAUUGUCAAUAAACUGCAUGAGGGAAAGUGCUUGCCAGUACCUAGACUCUUCUUCAGAACAGCCAACCAAUGACACUCCGAGAUCUUCAGGUACAUCCAUUCAGGAGCUCAGAGACCUUCAAGACAUGGGGGAAAUCAGAGAUGUUGUGUACUGCAACAUUCCUCUCGUGAGUACUGCAAGACUACCAGUUGAAACUGGAGAGGCGCAGACAUGUGCCGUACAAGGCCAUUGUAGUGAUUAUGCAUCCACUGAGAGCUUGACAACUACCAUACCUCAUGUUUCCCAACUUAUAACAAGCAGUCUUGAAAUUCUCGACUUUGAUCAGUCUGAUUUGAAAGUCAUUGUUGAUGAUAUGAGUGAUAAAGCUGCUUAUGUAAAUACAGCAAUUCCGUUGCCAGUAGAGCCUGACCAGGUUGAUAUUUAUGCCACCUUGCCAUCUUAUGAGAUAUAUUUCCUCAAUAAAGAUCAAUUCACAGUUUCGGUGCAGGUGGAAAAUCCUCAGGGCUCGGGUGAAAUGGAGGGAGAGCAAGGCAUG
ensembl:lncRNA